UUGCCCAGCUCAAACGUCAGCUCUAACCUUUCCUUUCCUGUAUGAUGGGCCGGUUAGUCAAUGACGGGUUCUGAGUGAUGGGAUAUUUACCAACCUCAGACACGGAAAUCCCCCUAUAAGUGGAAUUCUCCCAUGACAGAAUGAGGAUGCUGCCUGAUGGCUGCCAGAGAGACUGGUGCAACAAGUGGAUUACAUCAAGGAACAAGAUCAUUCCCCAAGUGAUGAUAUUGCUGAUCCUGUUGCAGCUGAUUCAUCCAGUUAAGACUGAGUUAAACCUUUGGGCUUUAGUGCCCAACCCCUCCUGUUGUUCUCCCUGUGCAUGUUAGUGCACGUUUGUUUCCUGUCUUAUAUUCUAACAAUGAUAGCUUAGGUUUACCUUUUUCUUCUGUAGAUACUUCUACAGAUAUUUCUGGGUUUUAUAAUUUUACUGAUUCAGUUUGUUUUAAGCUUGCUGGUUCAUUUAUUAGAUGUUCUUACAUUAAGCUUUAUCUCCCUUGUGUUCAACUUUACUAUGGAAGACAUGCCGAUACUUAUUGGCUAUAGCCAGAUUUUGGAUAUGAAUUAAUAUUUGCUGACCUUUGAGUUGUUGUUGGCUAGUCUAAUUUAACUGUUCAUCCUGCUUUAGUAGAGUUGUCUAGUUGCUCUGAAGGAAGUAUUUAUUCUACCUCUGUAGGUCUUCCUUGACCCUGGGUUUAUUGUUUAUCUCCUCAUCAGCCCUUGCAGGCAUUAAAUAAACCAGGAUUAUGAGUCAGACAGCACACUGACCCUGUGGCUGAUGCUAACGGCAUACCUAUGAAGUAUCCAUGGAUGAUGGCCCAUAUUACUUAUGUGGAAAGUUGAGUUGUAUGGAUAUUAGAUCUCUCUGCUCUUUGAAUAUGACCAUUGUAGAAAAUGGUAUUAUGUGUUUUAAUGCUAUUACAGGCAACCUUUAUCAGCAACUCCAAAAGUUAGUCCUACUCUUUCUCCUGCUAAGUUUUGUUUAAAACCACCUUUUUUUCUUUUUACUAGUUAAAAGUCCAUUGUUAUCUGCAGAAAUUAAUUGUUCUAUAGCCUCUUGUAGAAUUUUCUCCUGUUGGAAUAUUAACUUUCCCUUUUGCAGGAGUUGUUAGAACACCUGCUAGCUUGUGGGUACCAGUUGUUUCCCCAGGUCAUUGUCACAAAGUUGGACUUAUGACUGUUACUAGAUUUAAAACAUAUUUUGGCAUUACUAUGGAUGUUACAGCAGCUAUUCUAUCUGCCCUUGCAGGAGGAGUUAUGGCUGCAGUGGCUCUUCUCAGAAUACCAUUACUGCUGCAGCAUUAAAUCAGUUAGUUAAUACCACAGCUACUGCUUAUCAAACUCAAUUGCUUCUUAAUAAUCAUUUUCAUUAGGCCAUUUUGGUUUUGCAGCAACAAAUAGAUUUUUUUGUCUAAAUAAACUGACGUAGCCAAAAGCAUGUCUAAAUAUUCCUGUGAUCCUCUUUAUGGUAAGUUCUGUCUCACCCCUUUUCCUGUUACUAACAUGUCUUUACGCUUAUUAAGGGCCAAUGGGAUUCAAAGUAUGUGCAAUUAUCUGCUCAACUUGCUAAUGAUCUUACUAAGUUACAGGAAAUUGUUGUGGAGCCACUGGAUAUAGACUCUUCCUUUCUGACACGCAUCUGGGAACAUCUAAAGAAGCUUCUUGAUCCAUCCUGGAUUUUCAUUUAUGCAUGUUUGUCUGGUUUGGUACUAUUCAUCUUUAUAAUUGCCAGAUGUGUCCACUCAGCUUGACAGCAGCAGCUUAGAUUUAAUGAUACCACGCACAAAGUCCUUUUGGCUAUUGAACAGCGGCAUGCUGUAACUCCCUCACCCCAGGUAGGGGUUUGGCUUGCCCAGCUCAAACAUCAGCUUUAACCUCUCCUUUCCUGUGCAUGUGCUGGUUAGUCAAUGACAGGUAACAGAUGAUUGAUAAGUACUCACGAAAGAUGGGAAGUCCUCCUGUAAGUGGGAUUCUUCCAUGAUAGGUACAGUAUUUAUUUGGAAUUGCGCCACCUAAGACAGGCACGGUCCUUUUGUUUUAAUUUGAAAGGGAGGAAUUAUGGCAGCCAGAGUAGAUUUGAUUAGCCAAAAUGGAGUGCGUAUUUGCUGUUUGGUGCUGAGUUUGAGUAGUGGUCUCUGGUAAAUAAAGUUUUGCCUUCUGACUUUGGCAGUCAGUCAGCUUCUGAAAGACCGACCUUGGCAAGCUUUGCUUUAGGAAGCUCUGUUCCUGGGAACAAGAUAGGCAAGCUCCACACAACCCUGGAGCCAGAUGGUGGGUUCUGUGCAACCUUGAGUGAAUCCUCGUAUGAUCUGCCAGCUGAUGCAGAUGGACGUUACUGUGAGAAAGUUCCUCGUUCUCUCCUGCUUUUAUAUAGCUGGCUCUCCCUUCAAUAAAUUGGCACCUUGAUCAAAGACUUGGUGUCCCUCUUCGUGUUGCCUUGUUCUCUCUCUCCCAACCCUCUCUCAGGAGGUAUCUAAGCUGCAGGCAGCGACAUUUGAUGUUAACCAUUCUGACUGUCAUAAGAUGGAAUCUCAGAGCCGUUUUGAUUUACAUUUUCCUGAUGGCUAAGGAUGUUGAACAUUUCUUUAAAUGCUUCUUAGGUAUUAGAGAUUCCUGUUAAGAAAGUUUCUGUUUAUCUCUGUAUCCCAUUUUAAUUGGAUUAUUUGGCUUGUUGGGGUUUAAUUUUUCAUGUUCUUUAUACUUUUGGGUAUUAGUCUUCUCUUUCAGAGCAUUGGUAAAGAUCUUUUUUCCUAUCUGUAGGCUGCCCUUUUUUCUACUGAUGGUGUCCUUUGCCUUCCAGAAGCUUUUCAGCUUUGUGAGGUCCCAUUUAUUAAUUGUUGGUUUCAAAGCCUGAGCUGUUGGUGUUCUGUUCAGGAAGUUGUCUCCUCUGACAAUGAGUUCAAGGCACCUCCCCCCUUUUCUUCUAAUAUAUUUAGUGUGUCUGGUUUUAUGUUUAGGUUUUUAAUCCACUUGGAAUUGAGUUUUGUGCAGGGUGGUAAAUAUGAUCUAUUUUUCUACAUGUAGACAUCCAGUUAUACCCAGCAUCAUUUGUUGAAGGUACUUUCUUUUUUAUUUUUCCAUUGUAUCGUUUUGGCUUCUUUGUCAAAAAGCAAGUGUCUGUAGGUGUGUAGGUUUAUUUCUGAGUCUUGGUUUCAAUUCCAUUGAGCAAUGUGUCUGUUUUUAUGCCAAUAUCACAUGGAGUUUAUUACUAUUGCUUUGUAAUACAACUUGAAAUCAGGCAUAUUGGUACUUCCAGAAGUUCUUUUAUUGUAUAGGAUUGUUUUGACUAUUCUGUAUAGGCUUUGAUUUUUUUAAACUUAUUUUAUUUGGGGUUCCUUAAGCCUCUACAUAUCUAACAAGCUGCCAACCCUAUGAAAGUGACAAAGAAGGUCUACAAGAGAUGUUGACCUCUUCUGACAAAGGUCCUUGGGACAAUUUCACUCUUCAUUGUCAGAAUAUCCAGCAGUUCAGCACUCCACAAUCCAGCAGUUCAGCAAAUCAGCAUUCCAGCUAUCCAGCAAUCCAGAAAACCAGAAAGCCAGCCAUCUAGCAAUCCAAAAGCAACAACAAGGAGCAGCAGUAGUGGCACGGGCAGCAGCAAUCUCCUUGAAGUGUUCUCAAAAGCAUUUCUUUCUGGGAACAUGGCACAUCUCAAAGUGAUCUCUCUGUCUCUGUCUCUGUCUCUGUCUCUCUCUGUGUGCACGAGCUCCUCUUUUUUUUCCUUAGGAGGGACCACUUGCUAUUUGACCCAUUGACAACUGACUGAUGCAAGUCAUUACUUCUUCACUAAAAACUCAUGUAGAAUGGAUAGUUUUUGGUCAACUUAACAUGUGCGAUGGUCAUCUGGAAAGAGGGAAACUCAAUUUUGAAAAUGCUUCUAACUGACCAGCAUAUAGUCAUGUCAUGGAUAUUUUCUUGAUUAGUGAUUGGUGUGGGAGGACCUAGCCCAGUGCUGUUAGAGGUGCCAGCUCUGGGCAGUUACUAUUGGUUUGUAUAGCAAAGCUGGAUAAGCAAUCCAUGAGGAACAAGUUAGGUAGAUGUGAUCUUCCAUGGCCUCUUCAGUUUUAAGCAGCCAUCUGUCCUUUUCCCUAGAGAGGCAACUAUUUUUACUCUGUACUUGUGCAAUGUCUUCUGCCUGUUAAAUAGAUCACACUAGAAACAUAUGUUCAGCUUAUAUAAAAGUUUUUUAGCUCCAAAGAAUACAUCAUCUGGAGCAAGCAUGAAAAGGGCAGCCUUGGACAUAGACAAUCUUCUGAAAAUGCUUCUUUCUCAAUAUAAGCUAUGGAAUGUUCCUGGUCAAUCAUACUCCUUCAGCAAAAAACUAGAGACUGGGUAGCACUAAUAUAGGUUCUUUGGUUUUUUGUUUGUUACCCUUGAACUCUUUCUUUCUUUCUUUCUUUCUUUCUUUCUUUCUUUCUUUCUUUCUUUCUUUCAUUCUUGCCUCCUGAUUCCUGCCGUAACUUCCCUCAGUGAUGAAAUAAACCAUUUCUUCUCUCAGUUG